rnacentral:rRNA from 1 species
UACAGAGGUCUCAAGCGUUGUUCGGAUUCAUUGGGCGUAAAGGGUGCGUAGGCGGCGCGGUAAGUCGGGUGUGAAAUCUCGGGGCUUAACUCCGAAACUGCAUUCGAUACUGCCGUGCUUGAGGACUGGAGAGGAGACUGGAAUUUACGGUGUAGCGGUGAAAUGCGUAGAUAUCGUAAGGAAGACCAGUGGCGAAAGGCGAUCUUCUGGGACGGAUACUGACGCUGAGGCGCGAAAGCUAGGGGGAGCAAACGGGG